rnacentral:siRNA from 1 species
CAAGGAUGUUUUCAUUAAUCAAGA